GAUGAACGCUAGCGACAGGCCUAACACAUGCAAGUCGAGGGGCAGCACGAGGUAGCAAUACUAGGGUGGCGACCGGCGGACGGGUGAGUAACACGUAUGCAACCUACCUGCAAGAGGGGAAUAACCCGUUGAAAAACGGACUAAUACCGCAUAACACUGUAGAACCGCAUGGUUUGACAGUUAAACAUUUAUGGCUUACAGAUGGGCAUGCGCAUGAUUAGCUAGUUGGUGAGGUAACGGCUCACCAAGGCAACGAUCAUUAGGGGUUCUGAGAGGAAGGUCCCCCCAACUGGUACUGAGACACGGACCAGACUCCUACGGGAGGCAGCAGUGAGGAAUAUUGGUCAAUGGGCGAGAGCCUGAACCAGCCAAGUCGCGUGAAGGAUGAAGGUUUUAUGAAUUGUAAAACUUCUUUUGCGAGGGGAAUAAAGUGUACCGACGUGUCGGUAUUUUGUAUGUACCCUGCGAAUAAGGAUCGGCUAACUCCGUGCCAGCAGCCGCGGUAAAACG
rnacentral:rRNA from 1 species